AUUGAACGCUGGCGGCAUGCCUUACACAUGCAAGUCGAACGGCAGCACGGGGCAACCUGGUGGCGAGUGGCGAACGGGUGAGUAAUGCAUCGGAACGUGCCCGGUCGUGGGGGGAUAACGCAGCGAAAGCUGCGCUAAUACCGCAUACGAUCUGAGGAUGAAAGCGGGGGACCGUAAGGCCUCGCGCGAUCGGAGCGGCCGAUGUCAGAUUAGGUAGUUGGUGGGGUAAAGGCUCACCAAGCCGACGAUCUGUAGCUGGUCUGAGAGGACGACCAGCCACACUGGGACUGAGACACGGCCCAGACUCCUACGGGAGGCAGCAGUGGGGAAUUUUGGACAAUGGGCGCAAGCCUGAUCCAGCAAUGCCGCGUGCAGGAAGAAGGCC
rnacentral:rRNA from 1 species